rnacentral:tRNA from 1 species
GUGGAAUGGCUCAGUGGGUAAAGCACUUGUCUUGCAAGCCUGAAAGCCUGAGUUCUAAUCCCAAAUUCCACA